GGGCGAUUAGCACAGUGGUAGCGCGCUUCCUUCACACGGAAGAGGUCACUGGUUCAAACCCAGUAUCGCCCA
rnacentral:tRNA from 1 species